rnacentral:rRNA from 1 species
GUAUGCUUUACACAUGCAAGUCGUACGAGAGUUUUUAACUCAAGUGGCGGACGGGUGAGUAACACGUAGGAAUUUGCCUUUAGGAGGGGGACAACAACUGGAAACGGUUGCUAAUACCCCAUGUGCUUUCGAGUGAAAUGGAUUUAUCCGCCUAGAGAGAAGCUUGCGGCUGAUUAGCUUGUUGGUGAGGUAAUGGCUUACCAAGGCGACGAUCAGUAUCUGGUUUGAGAGGACGAUCAGACACACUGGAACUGAGACACGGUCCAUACUCCUACGGGAGGCAGCAGUGGGGAAUUUUACGCAAUGGGGGAAACCCUGACGUAGCAACACCGCGUGAGCGACGAAGCCUUUAGGGGUGUAAAGCUCUGUCGGAUGGAACGAAAAAAAUGACGGUACCAUCAGAGGAAGCAUCGGCUAACUACGUGCCAGCAGCCGCGGUAAGACGUAGGAUGCAAGCGUUGUCCGGAUUUAUUGGGCGUAAAGAGUUCGUAGGCGGUUUAUUAAGUUUGAUGUUAAAUACUGAGGCUCAACCUCAGAACUGCAUUGAAUACUGGUAGACUUGGGUACAGUAGAGGUAAGUGGAAUUCCCAGUGUAGCGGUGAAAUGCGUAGAUAUUGGGAAGAACACCAGUGGCGAAAGCGACUUACUGGGCUGUAACUGACGCUGAGGAACGAAAGCCAGGGGAGCAAAUGGGAUUAGAUACCCCAGUAGUCCUGGCCGUAAACGAUGGAUACUAGGCGUAGCGGGUAUCAACCCCUGCUGUGUCGUAGCUAACGCGAUAAGUAUCCCGCCUGAGUAGUACGGCCGCA